CCAAAAUAGUCAAUUUUGGAUUUUGAAAAAUUCGCCAAAAAUCGAAAAAUGAACUUGGGCAACUGAAAAUUUGGAUUUGGGGGUUUUAGAACAUGGUCUUUCCAAAAAUCGCGGUCCCGUUCAAAUCGGGGGCGGAUACCUCAAGAGGUUCCCUUGUUAGCUUGAUUUGGUAAAAUUUUGGGGAAAUUCUAACGUGCAAAAAUCUGACGCAGGCUGCAGUUCUACUGAGAACGGUUCGAAACUAUUCGCAAUCGAAUUCUUGUGACGUACCUAGAAUAUAGUUUGGAAUUCUAGGUCAAUUUGGUAAAAUUUUGAACGAAAAAUUUUCAAAAAUUCGCCGAUGAAUCGAAAAAUAUGCUCGAACGUUUGUAAAAAUAAAUUCGUGCCUUUUGAAUCUCUUAGCUUAUGCAUGUAAAAACGUGUUCUGUCUGUUCCUGUAUAGCAAACGGAAGUUUUGCUACUCGGAUGCUUGUUUCGUCUCGUCGGCUCCUUUCCUCGGCCCUCGUUCCUACUUCCUAGGUCGAAGUCGAAUAUUCACAUUGCAUCACGUUGCAUUACAAUCACAUUUCAGCAUUAAUCGUCUGACAAUUGUACAUGUUUUUGAUACAUAUGAGAGACCACAGUGUAGUAAUGUGUUCUAAUUAUAACGGUGUUAUUGUUACUUUCGACUAGCUACCUAAAUGAUCGUGCUUUUUUUCACCUUCGUUCCGCGAAAAUUGCAAACUGUUGUGUACUAUUUCGAAUUACAGCUUUAGAAACUAGAAAGCGUGAAUUUCGCCGUUGUUUUAUUUUCCUAUCUGACGAUCGAUAGUGAUAGUUUACAGAAAAAUGGACGAUUCGCCGAUGAAUGUACAAAAUUUGGAUGAAAACUCGAUAUGCGUUCAACUGCGAGUACACGAAUGGGCCUCGGGACCAUCAAUGGUCGAAUUCCAUGAUCACCGUUUGAUUGAAAAAUUCACGACUGAUUGCGCGCGUAAUCCGACGUAUCCGUAUUAUUAUAGUGAUUUUUGUGAUGAUAGUACUAGCAGUGAUUCUAGUACUAGUAGCGAUGAUAUUAGCGACGAUAGCAGUGAUGAUAGUAGUGAUGAUAGCAGUACUGAUAGUAGUGAUAGUGAUGAAAGCAGUGACGACGAUACUAGUGACACUAGUGACGAUAGCGAUGACGAUAGUGACUGAAGAAGGUGAAAAAGUGAUCGGUGGGAUUAGAUACCUAUAUUAGCAUUUUUUGAGUAUUUUUGAAUAUUAAUUUUCGUGAACGUUGAAUACUCAUUUUUUUUCUUCAAUUUUUUGUUUGUUUGUGUGUUUAUUAUUAUUAUUAUUAUUAUUAUUUUGUCUAAAAAUAUCACCUAUUUGAAAAUUAUUCUUAUAUAGAUAAGUCGUAUUUGUCUGUUUGUUUACAAUUUUUUUCCUAAAUUUAAACGUAAUUAUGUGUUCCUAAGUAUUAAGUAUUUUGAGUACGUGAUGAUUUGCCUUAAGUACCUAUGCUUCUAUAAUCAUAUAAUGCAUUUUGAAUUUGAUUGAGUAGAACUUACGUGUUUGUUCAUUUGAAAUAAUACUUACGAUUUUUUUCUUUCUUCGGAAAUAUUUUUGUAAUCAAAUUUGGAAUUGACUUUUUUGAGGCGAAACAGACCGAGAGCUCAGGCAAUUAUUUUUGUCCAUAAUUAAGAUUGUUAUUUUAGAUUUAAAUGAAUUAAUUUACAAUGUAGUGUAUGUUUUGUUCAAAAUGCGUUUAAAGUGUUUGUUGUUUGUGGAUUUCUUCCAUCUUUGUAAUGAAUUUUCUUUCAGUUAAUCGAAAUCAUUGAGAAUGUACCUCAUGUCAUAUUGUAUAUUAAACGAUUCUCACGAGAUUUUCUCAAUCCCAGCGAUA